UACAGAGACUGCAAGCGUUAUUCGGAUUCACUGGGCGUAAAGGGUGCGUAGGCGGGUUUCUAAGUCAGAGGUGAAAGCCUGGAGCUCAACUCCAGAACUGCCUUUGAUACUGGAAGUCUUGAGUUCGGGAGAGGUGAGUGGAACUGCGAGUGUAGAGGUGAAAUUCGUAGAUAUUCGCAAGAACACCAGUGGCGAAGGCGGCUCACUGGCCCGAUACUGACGCUGAGGCACGAAAGCGUGGGGAGCAAACAGG
rnacentral:rRNA from 1 species